rnacentral:rRNA from 1 species
GGUCGCGCAGGAUGCGGGUGUCCGGACGUUCGGCAACGGUGUAGCCGGCGGCGAAGUCGCCAAAGGCGAUCGACAUGGCGUCGGCAGCGAUGUCGGGCAUGUCCUCGGCGAUCACGACCGGGUAGCCCAUCAGGCGGGCCGGUUCGCCAGCGGCCAGGCCAUCCGACCACAGGAAGCGGCCGUCCAGGUCCUUCAGCUUGCGCACGGCACCGGCGGUCUUCGAGUUCAUCACGAAGGCACCGUUGGCGCGAUAUUCGGCGCCCAGCGAAUAGACCAGGUCGACGAUGGCAUCGGCCGGGUUGGUGGCGUCAAAGUCACCCGAGGUACCGGUGGCCACGUAACCGACGUUGCCCCAGGUCCAGCUGUCAUUGGCAGCGGUCGGGUGGGUCAGGAUGCCGGUGGGCUUGUCCACACCGUCGCCGUUGAUGAAGGCGGCAGCCUCGGCACGGGCGAACUUGUCGGCGAUACGGCCGGCCAGCCAGGUCUCGAUAUCGAAGGCCGAGUCAUCCAGCAGGCGCUGCGAGGCUUUGGGCAGGGCCGAAAGCUCGUGCAGCGGAAUGGCGAUCCGGUCGAUCGACGGGGUGGAGGUCUCGGUCGAGGACGCGGUCUCCGAGGCCCAGCCCGAGCCCAGGUCCGAAUGGUCGAUCAGCACGUCAUACGAGGUCGCCUCGACAUUCACCACAUUGGCAAUGGCGCGGAUCGACGAGGUGCCUUCCAGCACGCCCUUGAUGGUGUCCGCGGUCUGGGGAUCGACCAGAUAGCCA